GACGAACGCUGGCGGCGUGCUUAACACAUGCAAGUCGAACGGAAAGGCCCUGCUUUUGUGGGGUGCUCGAGUGACGAACGGGUGAGUAACACGUGAGUAACCUGCCCUUGACUUUGGGAUAACUUCAGGAAACUGGGGCUAAUACCGGAUAGGAGCUCCUGCUGCAUGGUGGGGGUUGGAAAGUUUCGGCGGUUGGGGAUGGACUCGCGGCUUAUCAGCUUGUUGGUGGGGUAGUGGCUUACCAAGGCUUUGACGGGUAGCCGGCCUGAGAGGGUGACCGGCCACAUGGGGACUGAGAUACAGCCCAGCAUCCUACGGGAGGCAGCAGUGGGGAAUAUUGCACAAUGGGCGGAAGCCUGAUGCAGCAACGCCGCGUGCGGGAUGACGGCCUUCGGGUUGUAAACCGCUUUCGCCUGUGACGAAGGGUGAGUGACGGUAAUGGGUAAAGAAGCACCGGCUAACUACGUG
rnacentral:rRNA from 1 species